rnacentral:lncRNA from 1 species
AUUGAACUUGAAGUGGAGGAUCAGGAGAGUAGAAAAGGAGUUCGAUGGAUGUUGAUUGGAAAAAUAAUUGUGACAAAAGUAAUAAAUAGAAAAGUGAUUGUAAAUGUUAUUCAUAAUUCUAGCCAUCAAAUAAAAUUAUGGAUUUAGGAGAAUUAGGGAGAAGGGUGUAUGGAAUUCUAUUUGAAGAUGAGAUAAAAAUGAAAGAGAUUCUGGAUAGAGUUCUUUGGUCAAUUAUGGGAUACAUUCUGAAUCUGAGGGUUUGAGAUAAAGAAAAGACAAAUGAUAAAGUGGAUUUUUCGAGAAUUAACUUCAAGAUUCAAGUGCAUAAGGUUCCUUUGGAGCAGAAUGCUAAGAAGAUUAGAGGAGUUAUAGGCAAAGUUGUUGAAAUUGAAGAUUCAGCAAGAGUUAAAAGAAUAAUAAGGGUUUUUUGAGGAUAAAGAUAGAGGUGGAGAUUGAUAAGCCUCUUAUUAUUGGGUUUUGGUUUCCUAGAAGAGGGGGAGGGAAAUUGUGGGUUGAGAUUAAAUACGAAAGACUGUCUAAUUUGUGUUAUUAUUGUGGAAUACUUGGGCAUGUUAAUAGAUAUUUCAAUUAUAAGGAGGAAAUUAGGGGCUUAGAGAGUGGUAUGUAGUAUUGGAAAAAGGAUAAGCUUUAGUUAAGAGCUAGGUGGUUAUAAAUGAAGGAAUAGGAUUUUUUUGUCUUUUGUAAGGGUGAUGGUGAUAGUAGUAAAAGGAUACAGAAGACUAAUGAAAUUGAUAAAGGGGUGAGGGUGUUAUGAGGGAUAAAGGGAAUAAAAUUGUAGAAGAUGGGUAUGAGGAGGAUAUUUGUUUUAGUUUUGAAAAGGGGGAGAGAAGUAAGGUAAUUUUGGUUGUAAGUUAGCAGAGGGGAAUAGGAAAGGCGAAGUACAAUGGUUAGUUAAGGAAGUUGUGAAAGGGUUUGAAGGCAUAAGGAUGAAUGAUGAAAGAAAGGGUUCCGAAGAAUAAGAAAAUGAAUAGGUGAAGAGUAAAAAUAGAGAGUGGUGAAAGUUUUGGUGAUGGGGAUAUUGGAAUAGUGAAGGGGGAAGGUAAGGAAUUUUAUAGUAACUAAGGUAGGAAUCGAUGAAAAUAAGGAGAAAAAUGAGUCAUUAUAUUAUGGAGUUACCUCUAAAUGACGCAAGGACUGAUGGGAGCUAAAUAGAUAGAGUGGAAGGGAUUGAUAGUGAGUGGCAUAUUAAAAAUAUUAUAGAUAAUUUGAAAAUAGGGUGGGAACAGAGUAAUGGUGUAACACCUCAUACCUUACCUAUUGGUCAGGUCUGAGCUACGAGAUGUCACAUCUGUUGUCGGAUCAACUAUGACUCAAUCUUAAUUUAAUUUUCCAUCAUUUUUAGUCUUAUAAGUGCUCAC